GAUGGACGCUGGCGGCGUGCCUAAUACAUGCAAGUCGAGCGAACGGAUGAGAAGCUUGCUUCUCUGAUGUUAGCGGCGGACGGGUGAGUAACACGUGGAUAACCUACCUAUAAGACUGGGAUAACUUCGGGAAACCGGAGCUAAUACCGGAUAAUAUUUUGAACCGCAUGGUUCAAAAGUGAAAGACGGUCUUGCUGUCACUUAUAGAUGGAUCCGCGCUGCAUUAGCUAGUUGGUAAGGUAACGGCUUACCAAGGCAACGAUGCAUAGCCGACCUGAGAGGGUGAUCGGCCACACUGGAACUGAGACACGGUCCAGACUCCUACGGGAGGCAGCAGUAGGGAAUCUUCCGCAAUGGGCGAAAGCCUGACGGAGCAACGCCGCGUGAGUGAUGAAGGUCUUCGGAUCGUAAAACUCUGUUAUUAGGGAAGAACAUAUGUGUAAGUAACUGUGCACAUCUUGACGGUACCUAAUCAGAAAGCCACGGCUAACUACGUGCCAGCAGCCGCGGUAAUACGUAGGUGGCAAGCGUUAUCCGGAAUUAUUGGGCGUAAAGCGCGCGUAGGCGGUUUUUUAAGUCUGAUGUGAAAGCCCACGGCUCAACCGUGGAGGGUCAUUGGAAACUGGAAAACUUGAGUGCAGAAGAGGAAAGUGGAAUUCCAUGUGUAGCGGUGAAAUGCGCAGAGAUAUGGAGGAACACCAGUGGCGAAGGCGACUUUCUGGUCUGUAACUGACGCUGAUGUGCGAAAGCGUGGGGAUCAAACAGGAUUAGAUACCCUGGUAGUCCACGCCGUAAACGAUGAGUGCUAAGUGUUAGGGGGUUAGGGCCCCUUAGUGCUGCAGCUAACGCAUUAAGCACUCCGCCUGGGGAGUACGAC
rnacentral:rRNA from 1 species